rnacentral:rRNA from 1 species
UACCAGCACCCCGAGUGGUCGGGACGUUUAUUGGGCCUAAAGCAUCCGUAGCCGGUUCUACAAGUCUUCCGUUAAAUCCACCUGCUUAACAGAUGGGCUGCGGAAGAUACUAUGGAGCUAGGAGGCGGGAGAGGCAAGCGGUACUCGAUGGGUAGGGGUAAAAUCCGUUGAUCCAUUGAAGACCACCAGUGGCGAAGGCAGCUCGCUGGGACGGUACUGACGCUGAGGCGCGAAAGCGUGGGGAGCGAACAGG